CUUAAUGAAUUGACGGGGCCGCACAAGCGGUGGAGCAUGUGUUUAAUUCGAAGCAACGCGAAGAACCUUACCAGGUCUUGACAUCCCUGACAACCCGAGAGAUCGGGCGUUCCCCUUCGGGGGACAGGGUGACAGGUGGUGCAUGGUUGUCGUCAGCUCGUGUCGUGAGAUGUUGGGUUAAGUCCCGCAACGAGCGCAACCCUCGACCUUAGUUGCCAGCAUUCAGUUGGGCACUCUAAGGUGACUGCCGGCUAAAAGUCGGAGGAAGGUGGGGAUGACGUCAAAUCAUCAUGCCCCUUAUGACCUGGGCUACACACGUGCUACAAUGGGCGGUACAAAGGGUCGCGAACCCGCGAGGUGGCGCCAAUCCAUAAAGUUGGUCUCAGUUCAGAUUGUAGGCUGCAACCCGCCUGCAUGAAGAUGGAGUUGCUAGUAACCGCAGGUCAGCUAUACUGCGGUGAAUACGUUCCCGGGGCUU
rnacentral:rRNA from 1 species